GGCGACCAAGUAGAUGGAACUCUUCGCCUUAUCAGUCUAACUUCGACUCAGGAGCAUGUUCCUCUGUAAAGUUGACACCCAUCUUUGAAAAAAGACACCCGUUUGAGGAAGAUCCAAUAACGGGUCCACAUCCUAUGUUACUCAUUCAAGAAUAUGACAAGUGGGUUCGUGAAGGUCUUCUAGCAAGACAUGAUCAGAAAAGUAAUCUCGACGACCAUUACAAGAAAAACAAGUCUAUACUUCACAUUCCAUUGGAUUUUGGAGCUGAUCAAG